AACCGGUUUAUCAUUCUUGAUCGGGUCUUCGCGUUUUCCACAUGAAGCUUAAACUCCUCAAACCGCUUCUUUGUGCUCUGAACAAAAGGAAAUAUGGAUACAUUACCAGAUGAACCAAAGUUGCGUAUGAGGUCCUAUGUGACAGGCAGGGAAAUGUUUACUGGAUCCUUGCCCUGACACGUUUUUGGCUGAAGCUAACGUUAACACUCAGUGGCAGCACUAUACAGAAGUGGAGGAGCAGUUCUAUCGGCAAAAAU
rnacentral:lncRNA from 1 species